ensembl:misc_RNA Y_RNA Y RNA
GGCUGGUCCAAUGGUAGUGGGCUAUCAGAACUUAUUAACAUUAGUGUCACUAAAGUUGGUAUACAAUGCCCCACUGCUAAAUUUGACUGGCUUUAA